rnacentral:rRNA from 1 species
UACGGAGGGAGCUAGCGUUGUUCGGAAUUACUGGGCGUAAAGCGCACGUAGGCGGCUUUGUAAGUUAGAGGUGAAAGCCCGGGGCUCAACUCCGGAACUGCCUUUAAGACUGCAUCGCUUGAAUCCGGGAGAGGUGAGUGGAAUUCCAGGUGUAGCGGUGAAAUGCGUAGAUAUCUGGAGGAACACCGGUGGCGAAGGCGGCAUCCUGGACCGGUAUUGACGCUGAGGCGCGAAAGCCAGGGGAGCCAAAGCGGG